rnacentral:rRNA from 1 species
UACGUAGGGUGCAGGCGUUAAUCGGAAUUACUGGGCGUAAAGCGUGCGCAGGCGGUUUGCUAAGACAGGUGUGAAAUCCCCGGGCUUAACCUGGGAACUGCGCUUGUUACUGGCAGGCUUGAGUGUGGCAGAGGGGGGUGGAAUUCCACGUGUAGCAGUGAAAUGCGUAGAGAUGUGGAGGAACACCGAUGGCGAAGGCAGCCUCCUGGGCCAGCACUGACGCUCAUGCACGAAAGCGUACGGGAGAACAGAAUGAGACUACCGUAGUCAAGUCCAAGA